AACCUUAUGGACCUGCGGGCGUAUACCUGCGGAGGGAUCAUUACCGAGUGAGGGCCUCCGGGUCCGACCUCCAACCCCAUGUCAUCUGAACCCUGUUGCCUCGGGGGCGACCCGGCCCUCUUGGGCGUCGGGGCCCCCGGUGGACCACAAACACUGCAUCUUUGCGUCGGAGUGAUAAAUCAAAUCAAUCAAAACUUUCAACAACGGAUCU
rnacentral:misc_RNA from 1 species